GACGAACGCUGGCGGCGUGCUUAACACAUGCAAGUCGAACGGAAAGGCCCUGCUUUUGUGGGGUGCUCGAGUGGCGAACGGGUGAGUAACACGUGAGUAACCUGCCCUUGACUGUGGGAUAACUUCAGGAAACUGGGGCUAAUACCGGAUAGGAGCUCCUGCUGCAUGGUGGGGGUUGGAAAGUUUCGGUGGCUGGGGUUGGACUCGCGGCUUAUCAGCUUGUUGGUGGGGUAGUGGCUUACCAAGGCUUUGACGGUUAGCCGGCCUGAGAGUGUGACCGGCCACAUUGGGACUGAGGUAGGGCCCAGACGCCUACGGGAGGAAGCAGUGGGAAAUAGUGCGCAAUGGGCGGAAGCCUGAUACAGCAACGCCGCGUGCGGGAUGACGGCCUUCGGGUUGUAAACCGCUUUCGCCUGUGACGAAGCGUGAGUGACGGUAAUGGGUAAAAAAGCACCGGCUAACUACGUG
rnacentral:rRNA from 1 species